UACGUAGGGUGCGAGCGUUAAUCGGAAUUACUGGACGUAAAGCGUGCGCAGGCGGUUCGUUGUGUCGGCGGUGAAAGCCCCGGGCUUAACCUGGGAAUGGCCGUUGAAACUGGCGAACUGGAGUGUGGCAGAGGGGGGUGGAAUUCCGCGUGUAGCAGUGAAAUGCGUAGAGAUGCGGAGGAACACCGAUGGCGAAGGCAACCCCCUGGGCUAACACUGACGCUCAGGCACGAAAGCGUGGGGAGCAAACAGG
rnacentral:rRNA from 1 species